CCUACGGGGGGCAGCAGUGGGGAAUAUUGCACAAUGGGGGAAACCCUGAUGCAGCGACGCCGCGUGAGUGAAGAAGUAUUUCGGUAUGUAAAGCUCUAUCAGCAGGGAAGAAAAUGACGGUAUCUGAUUAAGAAGCCCCGGCUAACUACGCGCCAGAAGCCGCGGGAAUACGUAGGGGGGAAGCGUUAUCCGGAUUUACAGGGUGUAAAGGGAGCGUAGACGGCAGCGCAAGUCUGAAGUGAAAUGCCGGGGCUUAACCCCGGAACUGCUUUGGAAACUGUGCAGCUAGAGUGCAGGAGAGGUAAGUGGAAUUCCUGGUGUAGCGGUGAAAUGCGUAGAUAUCAGGAGGAACACCAGUGGCGAAGGCGGCUUACUGGACUGUAACUGACGUUGAGGCUCGAAAGCGUGGGGAGCAAACAGGAUUAGAUACCCGAGUAGUC
rnacentral:rRNA from 1 species